UUAAGCGACUAAGCGUACACGGUGGAUGCCCUGGCAGUCAGAGGCGAUGAAGGACGUGCUAAUCUGCGAUAAGCGUCGGUAAGGUGAUAUGAACCGUUAUAACCGGCGAUUUCCGAAUGGGGAAACCCAGUGUGAUUCGUCACACUAUCAUUAACUGAAUCCAUAGGUUAAUGAGGCGAACCGGGGGAACUGAAACAUCUAAGUACCCCGAGGAAAAGAAAUCAACCGAGAUUCCCCCAGUAGCGGCGAGCGAACGGGGAGCAGCCCAGAGCCUGAAUCAGUGUGUGUGUUAGUGGAAGCGUCUGGAAAGGCGCGCGAUACAGGGUGACAGCCCCGUACACAAAAAUGCACAUACUGUGAGCUCGAUGAGUAGGGCGGGACACGUGGUAUCCUGUCUGAAUAUGGGGGGACCAUCCUCCAAGGCUAAAUACUCCUGACUGACCGAUAGUGAACCAGUACCGUGAGGGAAAGGCGAAAAGAACCCCGGCGAGGGGAGUGAAAAAGAACCUGAAACCGUGUACGUACAAGCAGUGGGAGCACAGAGCAAUCUGUGUGACUGCGUACCUUUUGUAUAAUGGGUCAGCGACUUAUAUUCUGUAGCAAGGUUAACCGAAUAGGGGAGCCGAAGGGAAACCGAGUCUUAACCGGGCGUUAAGUUGCAGGGUAUAGACCCGAAACCCGGUGAUCUAGCCAUGGGCAGGUUGAAGGUUGGGUAACACUAACUGGAGGACCGAACCGACUAAUGUUGAAAAAUUAGCGGAUGACUUGUGGCUGGGGGUGAAAGGCCAAUCAAACCGGGAGAUAGCUGGUUCUCCCCGAAAGCUAUUUAGGUAGCGCCUCGUGAAUUCAUCUCCGGGGGUAGAGCACUGUUUCGGCAAGGGGGUCAUCCCGACUUACCAACCCGAUGCAAACUGCGAAUACCGGAGAAUGUUAUCACGGGAGACACACGGCGGGUGCUAACGUCCGUCGUGAAGAGGGAAACAACCCAGACCGCCAGCUAAGGUCCCAAAGUCAUGGUUAAGUGGGAAACGAUGUGGGAAGGCCCAGACAGCCAGGAUGUUGGCUUAGAAGCAGCCAUCAUUUAAAGAAAGCGUAAUAGCUCACUGGUCGAGUCGGCCUGCGCGGAAGAUGUAACGGGGCUAAACCAUGCACCGAAGCUGCGGCAGCGACACUGUGUGUUGUUGGGUAGGGGAGCGUUCUGUAAGCCUGUGAAGGUGUGCUGUGAGGCAUGCUGGAGGUAUCAGAAGUGCGAAUGCUGACAUAAGUAACGAUAAAGCGGGUGAAAAGCCCGCUCGCCGGAAGACCAAGGGUUCCUGUCCAACGUUAAUCGGGGCAGGGUGAGUCGACCCCUAAGGCGAGGCCGAAAGGCGUAGUCGAUGGGAAACAGGUUAAUAUUCCUGUACUUGGUGUUACUGCGAAGGGGGGACGGAGAAGGCUAUGUUGGCCGGGCGACGGUUGUCCCGGUUUAAGCGUGUAGGCUGGUUUUCCAGGCAAAUCCGGAAAAUCAAGGCUGAGGCGUGAUGACGAGGCACUACGGUGCUGAAGCAACAAAUGCCCUGCUUCCAGGAAAAGCCUCUAAGCAUCAGGUAACAUCAAAUCGUACCCCAAACCGACACAGGUGGUCAGGUAGAGAAUACCAAGGCGCUUGAGAGAACUCGGGUGAAGGAACUAGGCAAAAUGGUGCCGUAACUUCGGGAGAAGGCACGCUGAUAUGUAGGUGAAGUCCCUCGCGGAUGGAGCUGAAAUCAGUCGAAGAUACCAGCUGGCUGCAACUGUUUAUUAAAAACACAGCACUGUGCAAACACGAAAGUGGACGUAUACGGUGUGACGCCUGCCCGGUGCCGGAAGGUUAAUUGAUGGGGUCAGCGCAAGCGAAGCUCUUGAUCGAAGCCCCGGUAAACGGCGGCCGUAACUAUAACGGUCCUAAGGUAGCGAAAUUCCUUGUCGGGUAAGUUCCGACCUGCACGAAUGGCGUAAUGAUGGCCAGGCUGUCUCCACCCGAGACUCAGUGAAAUUGAACUCGCUGUGAAGAUGCAGUGUACCCGCGGCAAGACGGAAAGACCCCGUGAACCUUUACUAUAGCUUGACACUGAACAUUGAGCCUUGAUGUGUAGGAUAGGUGGGAGGCUUUGAAGUGUGGACGCCAGUCUGCAUGGAGCCGACCUUGAAAUACCACCCUUUAAUGUUUGAUGUUCUAACGUGGACCCGUGAUCCGGGUUGCGGACAGUGUCUGGUGGGUAGUUUGACUGGGGCGGUCUCCUCCUAAAGAGUAACGGAGGAGCACGAAGGUUGGCUAAUCCUGGUCGGACAUCAGGAGGUUAGUGCAAUGGCAUAAGCCAGCUUGACUGCGAGCGUGACGGCGCGAGCAGGUGCGAAAGCAGGUCAUAGUGAUCCGGUGGUUCUGAAUGGAAGGGCCAUCGCUCAACGGAUAAAAGGUACUCCGGGGAUAACAGGCUGAUACCGCCCAAGAGUUCAUAUCGACGGCGGUGUUUGGCACCUCGAUGUCGGCUCAUCACAUCCUGGGGCUGAAGUAGGUCCCAAGGGUAUGGCUGUUCGCCAUUUAAAGUGGUACGCGAGCUGGGUUUAGAACGUCGUGAGACAGUUCGGUCCCUAUCUGCCGUGGGCGCUGGAGAACUGAGGGGGGCUGCUCCUAGUACGAGAGGACCGGAGUGGACGCAUCACUGGUGUUCGGGUUGUCAUGCCAAUGGCACUGCCCGGUAGCUAAAUGCGGAAGAGAUAAGUGCUGAAAGCAUCUAAGCACGAAACUUGCCCCGAGAUGAGUUCUCCCUGACCCUUUAAGGGUCCUGAAGGAACGUUGAAGACGACGACGUUGAUAGGCCGGGUGUGUAAGCGCAGCGAUGCGUUGAGCUAACCGGUACUAAUGAACCGUGAGGCUUAACCUU
rnacentral:rRNA from 1 species